CCUACGGGAGACAGCAGUAGGGAAUAUUGCUCAAUGGGGGAAACCCUGAAGCAGCAACGCCGCGUGGAGGAUGAAGGUUUUCGGAUUGUAAACUCCUUUUGUUAGAGAAGAUAAUGACGGUAUCUAACGAAUAAGCACCGGCUAACUCCGUGCCAGCAGCCGCGGUAAUACGGAGGGUGCAAGCAUUACUCGGAAUUACUGGGCGUAAAGAGCGCGUAGGCGGGAUAGCAAGUCAGAUGUGAAAUCCUAGGGCUUAACCAUAGAACUGCAUUUGAAACUGUUAUUCUAGAGUAUGGGAGAGGUAGGUGGAAUGCGUGGUGUAGGGGUAAAAUCCGUAGAUAUCAAGAGGAAUACUCAUUGCGAAGGCGACCUGCUAGAACAUAACUGACGCUGAUGCGCGAAAGCGUGGGGAGCAAACAGGAUUAGAUACCCUAGUAGUC
rnacentral:rRNA from 1 species